AGCGGCGUGGCUCAGUGGAAAGAGCACGGGCUUGGGAGUCAGAGGUCAUGGGUUUGAUUCCCAGCUCUGCCA
rnacentral:tRNA from 1 species